CGGGAGGCCUAAUACAUGCAAGUCGAACGGUAACGAGGGGUAGCAAUACCCGCUGACGAGUGGCGCACGGGUGCGUAACACGUACACAAUCUACCUUAUACUGGAGCAUAACCGUUGGGAAACUGAGGCUAAUUCUCCAUAACAUAUUGAAGAGGCAUCUCUUUAAUAUUAAAACUCAGGUGGUAUAAGAUGAGUGUGCGUCUGAUUAGCUAGUUGGUGGGGUAAUGGCUCACCAAGGCAACGAUCAGUAGCUGGUCUGAGAGGAUGAUCAGCCACACGGGCACUGAGACACGGGCCCGACUCCUACGGGAGGCAGCAGUAGGGAAUAUUGGACAAUGGGCGCAAGCCUGAUCCAGCCAUCCCGCGUGAAGGAUUAAGGCCCUCUGGGUUGUAAACUUCUUUUCUUUGGGAAUAAAAACUCCGUUUCUACGGAGCUUGAAGGUACCAGAGGAAUAAGCACCGGCUAACUCCGUG
rnacentral:rRNA from 1 species